CCAGUAUAAAAAGUAUGAGAAUGUCAUCCUUGAGUAUUACAUCAGGUACUGAUGGUGUAUCUCAACUCAGUGCCUUGUGUGAUAUUCUUGGGUUACUGCUCAUUUCAACACUAGCUGGUU
rnacentral:pre_miRNA from 9 species